CAAAUCCCAUGGGCCUCUGCGAAAUGAUAUUUAAAGGACGUCCGUUGUUCGUUUCGGUCUCAUUUUUUCGUGCUCCGGUUAGCGGCACGUGGCUGCACACGGAAGGAUGGCAGUGUACUCUCUUUGCUAUACGGUUAAUCUCAAAGGAGUUCACAGUUUGGAGCCAGGCUAGAUCAAGCUGGUAGUCCAGCAUCCUGUAACAUUCUCUGGAAUUCAAACUCUUCCGGGAUGAAUUGAGUCCAGGAUGUCCUGAUGGCUUGUCUAAAGGAGGAGUUCGUUGCUGCAUUCCACCAGUCUACAACAUUCAGAGGUCCUAAUUACAAUGGAAUGCUUGUUGGUUCAGUGAUCUGGUGUCUGGCCUAGAGAGCACCAAGGAAGCCAAGGAACCCUCCUAGGUCUAUCUUGCGGGGAAAUUAAGCAUGUCUUCACUCCAGGCCAUACUGAAAUGAGGUCUGAGGCAAAAGUGAAGUAACCAGUGUGGAAGGAAUCGUGGUCUGCAAGGACAAAGAAUUUGACUACUUGGAAUGUGUCAUUUUCAUUUUAUUAAUAAAAUUGUUCAGGGGCUGGAGAGAUGACUCAGGUUAAGAGCACUGACUGCUCUUCCAGAGGUCUUGAGUUCAAUUCCCAGCAACCACAUGGUGGCUCACAACCAUCUACAAUUCAAUCUGGUA